UUUCCUGCAAAUGUUGCUACAUAGGUUAUGUUGAUGUUAAAACAUAGGCAUAUGUAUUAGUAAAGACUUUCUAGACCUUCCCAUCAGAGGUAUGCGAUUUUAGUGUCUGCUGAGAUACAUGAGAAAGUCUGUGUUGAGAUGAGCAGCAAUGCUAUUAAAAGCCGAAACUGUCCCUUAGUACAAAGAGACACAGGAAAUGUUGAGUUUGGCUGGUGCUAACGUUUAUCCUGACCUUCUUCUUUGGCCUGGUAUUUAAAAAUGCAAAUACACAAUAAAUCAGGUGUCUUUGGACAGUCAUCUGCGUUCAUCUAAGCAGAAAAUCUCUAAAGGAGUUUUCCGUUUUCUCAAUAAAUGCCAGAGUCCCAGUGCAUGGUCAGAGGCACCUGGGUGAGGUGGCUACUUACUGGACAUUUUUCCUGUUCCGUGCUUUGUGGAUAAAGAAGACAUCUCUCUAACUUCAGCACCAUGUGCAGGUUUCCCAUAGGUCCCUACUCUCAACAUACU
rnacentral:lncRNA from 1 species